UACGGGGGGGGCAGGCGUUGUUCGGAAUUACUGGGCGUAAAGGGCUCGUAGGCGGCCAACUAAGUCAGACGUGAAAUCCCUCGGCUUAACCGGGGAACUGCGUCUGAUACUGGAUGGCUCGAGUUUGGGAGAGGGAUGCGGAAUUCCAGGUGUAGCGGUGAAAUGCGUAGAUAUCUGGAGGAACACCGGUGGCGAAGGCGGCAUCCUGGACCAACACUGACGCUGAUGAGCGAAAGCCAGGGGAGCAAACGGG
rnacentral:rRNA from 1 species